rnacentral:rRNA from 1 species
UGUGUAGGCGGUUGAAUUAGUCGAUGGUUAAAGCUCCAGGCUUAACCUGGUAAAAGCCAUCGAAACGGUUCAACUAGAGAAAGUGAGAGGUCUGUGGAACUCAUGGUGUAGGGGUGAAAUCCGUCGAUAUCAUGGGGAACACCGAAGGCGAAGGCAGCAGACUGGCACUUCACUGACGCUGAGACACGAAAGCGUGGGGAUCAAACAGGAUUAGAUACCCUGGUAGUCC